rnacentral:lncRNA from 1 species
CCUCAGUUUCCUCUCAGGCGCAGAGAGAGCUCAGCCCUCCACUCUGUAAAUGCAGCUGUAAUAAAGCUCCUCCUGUGUUUCUCAGUGUGGAAAUUGGGAAUGAACAAACAAUACCAAACACGCAGGCAUGUCACGACCCUUUCUUAGCCUGUUGGGAUUACAUCGUGUGGCACACAAGUGUUCACUGGUGCAACUAGAAAUGUGUGAAUAUUCUUGGCAUUUGCAGACAUCUCAGAGUGUUUUGAACCUGAAGGACUCUUUCAAGCCUCUCUCCACCUCACAACAGGUUCCCUACAUCCUCUUGCAUUAGCUGAGAGGGUGCUGCAUCCACAGCCCCAGAUGGGAAG